GAUCCUGGCUCAGGAUGAACGCUAGCGCAGGCUUAACACAUGCAAGUCGAGGGGUAACAUUGUAGCUUGCUACAGAUGACGACCGGCGCACGGGUGCGUAACGCGUAUAGAACUUACCUUUUACAGAGGGAUAGCCUUUAGAAAUGAAGAUUAAUACCUCAUAGUAUUAUUGAUUGGCAUCAAUUAAUAAUUAAAGAUUUAUCGGUAAAAGAUGGCUAUGCGUCCUAUUAGCUAGAUGGUAAGGUAAUGGCUUACCAUGGCUACGAUAGGUAGGGGCCCUGAGAGGGGGAUCCCCCACACUGGUACUGAGACACGGACCAGACUCCUACGGGAGGCAGCAGUGAGGAAUAUUGGGCAAUGGAGGUAACUCUGGCCCAGCCAUGCCGCGUGCAGGAAGACUGCCCUAUGGGUUGUAAACUGCUUUUAUACAGGAAGAAACACUCGUACGUGUACGAGCUUGACGGUACUGUAAGAAUAAGGACCGGCUAACUCCGUGCCAGCAGCCGCGGUAAUACGGAGGGUCCGAGCGUUAUCCGGAAUCAUUGGGUUUAAAGGGUCCGCAGGCGGUCAAUUAAGUCAGAGGUGAAAUCCCAUAGCUUAACUAUGGAACUGCCUUUGAUACUGGUUGACUUGAGUCAUAUGGAAGUAGAUAGAAUGUGUAGUGUAGCGGUGAAAUGCAUAGAUAUUACACAGAAUACCGAUUGCGAAGGCAGUCUACUACGUAUGUACUGACGCUCAUGGACGAAAGCGUGGGGAGCGAACAGGAUUAGAUACCCUGGUAGU
rnacentral:rRNA from 1 species